rnacentral:sRNA from 1 species
GGGCACGAUGGCUCAUGCCUGUAAUCCCAGCGACUCGGGAGGCGGAGGCAGGAGGAUCUCAAGUUCACAGCCAGCCUCAGCAACAACGAGAUGCUAAGCAACUCUGCGAGACCCUGUCUCUA